rnacentral:rRNA from 1 species
CCUACGGGUGGCAGCAGUGGGGAAUAUUGGACAAUGGGCGAAAGCCUGAUCCAGCCAUGCCGCGUGUGUGAAGAAGGCCUUCGGGUUGUAAAGCACUUUCAGUGGGGAAGAAAGCCUUGGGGCUAAUACCCUCGAGGAAGGACAUCACCCACAGAAGAAGCACCGGCUAACUCCGUGCCAGCAGCCGCGGUAAUACGGAGGGUGCGAGCGUUAAUCGGAAUUACUGGGCGUAAAGCGCGCGUAGGCGGUCUGAUAAGCCGGUUGUGAAAGCCCCGGGCUCAACCUGGGAACGGCAUCCGGAACUGUCAGGCUAGAGUGCAGGAGAGGAAGGUAGAAUUCCCGGUGUAGCAGUGAAAUGCGUAGAGAUUGGGAGGAAUACCAGUGGCGAAGGCGGCCUUCUGGACUGACACUGACGCUGAGGUGCGAAAGCGUGGGUAGCAAACAGGAUUAGAUACCCGUGUAGUC